rnacentral:rRNA from 1 species
AUGGCCAACGACGUGGAGAACCCGCCGAAUUUCCUCCACGACCAGCUCGUGGAGGCGGCAGCGGAGCCUGACGAGUGCGGCAGGUGCACGGUCAUCGUGCUCCUGGCCUUCCUCGCCUUGCCGCUCAUCGCCGUCGCCGUGGUCCUGAUCAAUUUCUACGGCAACUCCCGUGAAACCAGCAGUCCACUGAGUGUCGCCGCGUUGGUCAUCGGGAUCGUAGCCACCGUCCUCGGUUUGUGCGCCUGGGCCGUGCUCAUGUUUGUCAUCGGCCAGUGGGAACUCGGCAAUCCGGAAGGGUCUAGAUUAGUGGAUUAUUUAUUGUCGAUAUAA